AUCAGUUGCCGCUGUGACAUUGCGCCGAGGCUCUGAAGUGGGUAAUUGCAGACCAAAGCUAGGCUGGAAUACUGUGUUUGGGGUGGUCUUUAGAGUCGUGGUCUCUUUAGCGUUAUGAAGCCUACCUUGACUCCUAGAUGUUCAUUGUGAAUCUUGUUGGUGCUGGUAUCGCUGUACCUCUCAAAUAGCUUCCCCAUUUUGACUAAGAAUGAAGAGCUUCUUGGAUAAAGAACUUGUAAAAAUCAGCCUUCUGCCCCAGCGUCUUCUCCAAAGAUACAGGAGCUUGCUGGACCCACUUGCAAGGGAAGCCUGGAAGUUGGGGAGUUAAUGUCUUCACGGCACUCUCAACCAGUGAGGCAUGAGAAUUCUUGAACACUAUUUGGACAGUCUAUAUACCGGAAGCCCAUCAGUCACAGAGCAACAAGCCAUGGGCAGGUAGGAACCCAGUGACCUCAUUGGCCCUGAUUCACCCCAGGUAACCUCAAGAUGUGGAGAACCUGCCUGAGGAUAAGGCAUAGUGCUGGAUAUCUUGUUCUGACAGUAGUAAUUGGGAGGAAGAGGGGAAAGUGGCAGACUGCCUUGGAAAAGUGAUGUACAUAGACAAAACAUUAUCUGUCGUUCUGGCUUAAACCAAGGAGCAAAUGCAGCCUUAUCAGUCUGUGUUUGAAGUGGAAGUUGAGAAAACUAAGCUCCCAUAAAAACCAGGAUUGACAUUGGAUGAAAAAGAAUCAAGAGAGCAAGCAUUUCUGAGAGUCCCUCACACACACACACACACACACACACACACACACACGUACCUCCUUCAUAUUCUCCUUUUUUCCUUUUUUUUUCUCUCAUUUCGUUUUGAGACAGGGUCUUGCUCUGUCAUGCAGGCUGAAGGGCAAUGGCGCCAUCACAGCACACUGCAGCCUUAACCCCCUGGGCUCAAAGCAAUCCUCCUUCCUCAGCCUUCUGAGUAGCUGGGACUACUGGCACACACAACAAUGCCUGGCUCAUUUUUGUAUUUUUUUGUAGAGGCAGGGCCUCACUUUGUUGCCCAGGCUGGUCUAAACCCCCUGGCCUCAAGCUAUUCUCCUGCCUCGGCCUUCCAAAGUGCUGGGAUUAUAGAUGUGAGCCACUGCGCCAGGCCUCUUCUUUCCAUUUGCUAUUUCACCCUGAGGUGGGUACUCUUGACCCACAGUCGAUCCAUAACACAUUUAUACUGCCAUCUUUCCCUCAAGUGGCCUACCCAAUUCCAUUCCGUGUCCCCACGUAGUGAACUAGCUCCUGGUGCAGAGGGGUGAGAUAAUGAGGCUGAAGGAGGACGGCAGAGCAGCGUGGGGGCAGGGGCACAGGUGGGAGUGGUGCUGGGUGCAUACCUAGGAAGCAUGGUGUCCUCCAACAAACUGCUCUAGGCUGGGUACAAAGUUUCUUAUGGUGGAGAACUUUAUGGAUUAUGCCUAUGUCCUGUGCUGAACUUGACAAGUAGGCGAGUUAAGUUAUUUGAGGAUGAAUAAACUUGACUCUUAUUAUUGCGCUCACAAAAACUAUCUAGAGUGGGGAGAGUGAUCCCUUCUUUGGCUACUUAGCCCCUUGUCCUUCCACGUCCUUCAUGGUGACUUUUUGUUUUCUUUCCAAAUGGAACCCUCUAUUUUAUUUUCUAAUUUUUAUUUUGUUACUUGACAAAUACAAGUUGUAUGUUUAUGGUGUACAAGUUAUAGUGACUUGGCAGUUUUUCUCCUCGGCCAUCCCUGACCACAAGGUGGCAUUUAGUGGAUGGUUAAUCAUUUUUAUCCACUGAAGCUUGUCUUUAAGAAUCUUCUGUGACCCCCAAGACCUGGGGUUGCAUGGCCCCUUGCUUUGGAAAAAGCAUACAUGGUUCAUUGUUUCCUAAAUACUAUCCUCUCCGUCUCCGCUGCCACUCCCCCACCUUCCAUGCCCAUAUACCCUGAACUUCCCCACCUCCUCCACCCCCAAUACUGUGAACAUGAAGCCCAAAGAGACCGGUAUGAGAUUACAAGUUGGGAAUCCUAGGUUCUCUUCCCAACUCUUCCAAGCAUCUGGGAACCCAAAGUAUUUUCUAAACCACUGUCUUGGCAUUUCUGUCUGUAAAUUAAAAAAAUAAUAAUAAUGACUUGGAAUAUUGGUAAGAUGUCACCAGUGAAGAAAUGCUGCUAGUUCUUGGAGAAUGAAAAAGGCUGUCUGCAUGCUAUAAGCCACUGUAGCUCUUCUACAUAAGCCACAGUUGUUCUUAUGUGAGAUAAUGAAAUCCUCUGGUAAGGUACCUUCAAACUGGAAUACAUGUUUCCUUAGACAUGCUGCCUUGCUUUAGUGCCAUCAUUCUAAUACCUUGCUUCACCACUGGAGGGGUGUAGCCUCUCCCAAACUUUCUUCCCACAUCUUGGUCAGCCUCUUGAGCUACGACACACACCUCGAGAGUUUAGCAAAGCAUUUUGAAGCUUUGGUUCCAUCCUUCCCAAAAGUUCUCUUGGUUCACUGUUUUUCAGGAACCUUAGCUUAUAUGGAUAGCUCACUUUAUGCAACAGAUGUGUUAUUGGGAGUGGACAAUACAUUUUGUGUGUGUGUAUGGAAUUCUGUGUUACACACAUAAGAGAAGCUCACUUUAUCAACAACCUAUUUAUUUUAUUUUAUUUUAUUUUAUUUUAUUUUAUUUUAUUUUAUUUUAUUUUAUUUUUUGAGGCAGGGUCUUACUCUAUCACCGAGGCUGGUCUCGAGCUCAAGCUCAAGUGAUCCUCCUGUCUCAGCCUCCUGAGUAGCUGGGAUUACAGGUGUGAGCCACCACACCCAGCUUCAACAAUCUAUGUGGUAAAUUAUUUUAUAAAUCAAAGAUCCAAUACAUUUCUAUUUUGAAGAGUAGGUUUUCUUAAAACAAGGUACACCUCCAUACCCCAUGUCUUUUUGCCAUUUAACAAGGACCAUCUUAGACUGUGUGGUCUCACCUUAUUGAAGCUCAGUAGCGACGAGCUCUCAGGAUGCCUGACUCCAGCCUGCCUACCUCUUCUGGGCAGAUCCUACUCAUUCCAGUUUCCUCCCACUUAAACAAACAGAAUGUGUUGCUGUGUUUUCUCACCACAAGGCUGGCUCCAGCCUCUUCCACAGCUCACUUCCCUGACCUCUCCUGCUAAACUGGGCCCUCUUGAGUCUCUGCAGCCUGCAGCAGGUCCCAAGGUCCAGAUUCUCUGGGCCUUGCUGAGAAACAUCUGUCAAAGCCGUGUUGAGCCCUGAAAAUCAGCUCACACCUGGACAAGGUGGCAGCACUUCUCAGGAAUGCAGCUGUACCUCUCUGUCGCUACAUUUUAGUAGUUAGGACUGCAGUGGGCAGAGUUCCUUAUGUUGUUCAGGGUUUCCAUGGGCAGCAGCCUAUAUCACUCAUUGUCACAGUAAGUAAGCCAGAGUACUGCAGCCCAACACUGUAAUAAGGCACAGAACACAUGAUGAUAGCUCUUAGCCAGGCCAAGCCUGCACUCUGAAAAGUGCCACUUCCAACAAGAGGGUGAGAAGGCCCUCCAAACUCAGGAGCCUGGGAGCGGUAGGACAAAGCACAACCUGCACUGGCUCGGUCUUCAGUUGGGGGACCUGGCACAGGAAGGCCAGCGUUUAUUGUCUAUGGCAACCAUUGAAAUCCAUUGUCCCACCCCCUCCCCACCACUUCCAAGUAAUUCAAUCCCUGACAUUAAACGUGCACUGACUCUCUAGGGUAGAAAAGCACAAACUUACUCUAUGUAUAUUUUUAUUGGUUUGUGUGACAGGCCGAAUAAUGGCCCUCCAAAAACGUCUGUGUCCUAAUCACUGGAACCCGUUACAUUACAUUACAUGAGAAAAGAGACUUUGCAGACAUGAUUAAAUUAAGGACCUUGAGAGGAGGGGAUGAUCUUGGACUACCCAGGUGGGCCCAAUGUAAUCACACAGGUCCUUAAAAUUGGAGAAUUUUCCCAGCUGUGGUCAGAGGGAGGCUUGGCUGCAGAAUAGUGAGAGAGACGCAAUGUUACUGGCUUUGAAGAUGCAAUGGUGUUUGGCUCCUUUGAGCCAAGGAGUGAGGAAACUGUAAGGAAACAGAUUCAGCCCCAGAGCAUUAAGAAGGAACAUAGCCCUGGCAACAUCUGGAUUUCAGCCUGGUGAGACCCAUUUUGGCCUUCUGACCUCCAGAACUGUAAGCUCAUAAAUGUGUAUUGUUUAUGCCAUUAAAUCUGUAGUAAUUUUUUGGACACGAUAGGAAACUAAUAUAGUUUGGAAAUACAAUUCGUUAAAUUUUUUGCCACAAUUUAUCUUAGUUGAAUGCUGUAAGUGCCUUAAACACCUUUCUGUCUCCCAGAGGAUUUCUGGAAACAAAUGAUUCCUUUGCCUUUAAUUUUUUCCUUCGGCAUGUAGGCUGAGGCCUUCCUUAUUCUAUCCAUUCAAAGGCUCUAGCAGUAUUAUCUCAGCA